GUGGGGAAUAUUGGACAAUGGGCGAAAGCCUGAUCCAGCCAUGCCGCGUGUGUGAAGAAGGUCUUCUGAUUGUAAAGCACUUUAAGUUGGGAGGAAGGGCAGUAAGUUAAUACCUUGCUGUUUUGACGUUACCGACAGAAUAAGCACCGGCUAACUUCGUGCCAGCAGCCGCGGUAAUACGAAGGGUGCAAGCGUUAAUCGGAAUUACUGGGCGUAAAGCGCGCGUAGGUGGUUUUGUAAGUUGGAGGUGAAAUCCCCGGGCUCAACCUGGGAACUGCCUCCAAAACUGCAUGACUAGAGUACGGUAGAGGGUAGGGGAAUUUCCUGUGUAGCGGUGAAAUGCGUAGAUAUAGGAAGGAACACCAGUGGCGAAGGCGACUACCUGGACUGAUACUGACACUGAGGUGCGAAAGCGUGGGGAGCAAACAGGAUUAGAAACCCUGGUAGUCC
rnacentral:rRNA from 1 species